GUAGGUGGCAAGCGUUAUCCGGAUUUACUGGGCGUAAAGCGUACGUAGGCGGUUCGGUAAGUUCGUUGUGAAAUCUCCCGGCUCAACUGGGAGCGGUCAAUGGAAACUGCCGGACUGGAGGGGCGUAGAGGCGAGCGGAAUUCCCGGUGUAGUGGUGAAAUGCGUAGAUAUCGGGAGGAACACCAGUGGCGAAAGCGGCUCGCUAGGCGCUACCUGACGCUGAGGUACGAAAGCAUGGGGAGCGAACCGGAUUAGAUACCCGGGGUAGUCCAUGCCGUAAACGAUGAAUGCUGGACGUGGGGGUAUCGACCCCCUUCCGUGUCGCGCUAACGCAUUAAGCAUUCCGCCUGGGGAGUACGGCCGCAAGGCUA
rnacentral:rRNA from 1 species